UAUUUAGUUCCAUGCUUCUUUUACUUCCCAUAUUGAAUUUUCAGCCUAUUAUGGAAUGUAAAGAAGUAUGGAGCCUUUUA
rfam:Asian citrus Psyllid, Diaphorina citri - Florida Strain, whole genome shotgun sequence.